rnacentral:tRNA from 1 species
CUGGGUGAUGCAAAUGGUUAAUGUGCUUGGCUGCUAACCAAAAGGUUGGUAGUUCAAGUCCACCCAGA